rnacentral:lncRNA from 11 species
ACAAAAGCAACCAAGAGCAGAUCUCAGUUUCUCCUCUGCUUUUCGGCAUCACAGAAAGUUUGGAAAAGGAAGAUUUUCUCCCUGCUGAACAGACAUUAAAGGAGAACCACAUCUUCCUAACAUGAAAACAUGCUAGUCUCUUGUAGCUGGGGAAAGCCUUGCAAUAAUACGGAAUAAAAAGCUUAAGAAGUG